rnacentral:rRNA from 1 species
AGAGUUUGAUCCUGGCUCAGGACGAACGCUGGCGGCGCGCCUAACACAUGCAAGUCGAACGGAGCUGAGAGGAGCUUGCUUUUCUUAGCUUAGUGGCGAACGGGUGAGUAACGCGUGAGUAACCUGCCCUGGAGUGGGGGACAACAGUUGGAAACGACUGCUAAUACCGCAUAAGCCCACGAUCCGGCAUCGGAUUGAGGGAAAAGGAUUUAUUCGCUUCAGGAUGGACUCGCGUCCAAUUAGCUAGUUGGUGAGGUAACGGCCCACCAAGGCGACGAUUGGUAGCCGGACUGAGAGGUUGAACGGCCACAUUGGGACUGAGACACGGCCCAGACUCCUACGGGAGGCAGCAGUGGGGGAUAUUGCACAAUGGGGGAAACCCUGAUGCAGCGACGCCGCGUGGAGGAAGAAGGUUUUCGGAUUGUAAACUCCUGUCGUUAGGGACGAUAAUGACGGUACCUAACAAGAAAGCACCGGCUAACUACGUGCCAGCAGCCGCGGUAAAACGUAGGGUGCAAGCGUUGUCCGGAAUUACUGGGUGUAAAGGGAGCGCAGGCGGGAAGACAAGUUGGAAGUGAAAACCAUGGGCUCAACCCAUAAAUUGCUUUCAAAACUGUUUUUCUUGAGUAGUGCAGAGGUAGAUGGAAUUCCCGGUGUAGCGGUGGAAUGCGUAGAUAUCGGGAGGAACACCAGUGGCGAAGGCGGCCUACUGGGCACCAACUGACGCUGAGGCUCGAAAGCAUGGGUAGCAAACAGGAUUAGAUACCCUGGUAGUCCAUGCCGUAAACGAUGAUUACUAGGUGUUGGAGGAUUGACCCCUUCAGUGCCGCAGUUAACACAAUAAGUAAUCCACCUGGGGAGUACGACCGCAAGGUUGAAACUCAAAGGAAUUGACGGGGGCCCGCACAA